GCUGCAUUAGUAUAAUGGUAUUACGAGGCCAUGGUAAGGCUUUAACGCAGGUUCAAUUCCUGCAUGCAGCACCA
rnacentral:tRNA from 1 species